GACGAACGCUGGCGGCGUGCCUAAUACAUGCAAGUCGAACGCUUCUUUCCUCCCGAGUGCUUGCACUCAAUUGGAAAGAGGAGUGGCGGACGGGUGAGUAACACGUGGGUAACCUACCCAUCAGAGGGGGAUAACACUUGGAAACAGGUGCUAAUACCGCAUAACAGUUUAUGCCGCAUGGCAUAAGAGUGAAAGGCGCUUUCGGGUGUCGCUGAUGGAUGGACCCGCGGUGCAUUAGCUAGUUGGUGAGGUAACGGCUCACCAAGGCCACGAUGCAUAGCCGACCUGAGAGGGUGAUCGGCCACACUGGGACUGAGACACGGCCCAGACUCCUACGGGGGGCAGCAGUAGGGAAUCUUCGGCAAUGGACGAAAGUCUGACCGAGCAACGCCGCGUGAGUGAAGAAGGUUUUCGGAUCGUAAAACUCUGUUGUUAGAGAAGAACAAGGACGUUAGUAACUGAACGUCCCCUGACGGUAUCUAACCAGAAAGCCACGGCUAACUACGUG
rnacentral:rRNA from 1 species